UGUAAAUUGUAAUAUAAAGUAAUAUAAAUUGAAAUUCAAUAUUUUAGAUUUACUAUAACGUUUUACUAUAAUAUUUACUAAUUUAAAUUUUUAAGCUCGUUCUUUAAAGUUACACUUCUGAUACAAAUAGUACAUCAAGGAUCGGGGGGUUGAAGGGGAAAUCCCCACCUUAUUAAAAACAAUCUCUCAAAUAAAAUAUUUACCUUGAAUUCUUACACCAUCACCGUGAUUAUGAUAAUCACCAUCACCAUGCUUUGUAAUAAAAACGAAUGAUACUCAAAUUUCCUUUUUUACUGCUUCCAUCAUAGUAUACCAUUAGGCAAUUCAUUCAAUUAAAAAAAAUAAUAAUGAUAGAACAGCGAUAUUUAUAAACAUCACUCAUUACUUUCGUCGGAACAGUAGAAUCCAACUGUCUUUGUACUUUGUGUGAAUAAUUAAGCAACAGCUAGGUAUAGUAUAUAAACGAUGUCUACAAUAAAAUAGCAAACGUUGUAUCAUUUAUUUUGAAGUACAGUUUAUUUUCUGGGUUGAAAUGUCAAUGUAAAGCAUAAAAUACCAUUCAUCAUGGUGGCCCAACCAGUAUAUAAUAUUAUAAAAGUCAUAAAAACGUACACCGAUGUUUAAGUAACAUCGACGACGAAUACCAAAACCAGAUAUAGAAAUUUUAAAUAUAUCUACUCAAGUUAUAUGUAACUCAGGUGCGUAAGACAGUGUUGUAUUGUGUUAUUAUGCACUCGAAAGCAGAUAUAAAUCAUCACUGCAAUCAGAAAGCAAUUUCCUGCAGUUUAGCAUCAGCACGCAGUAAUGUCACCGUAAUUCAAAUUCAAGUAAGUAGGUACAUUGAUAACAAAUCGUGUGAAAAACGAUUAUCUGAUUUUUUUCUUGUAGUACGAAUAUGGUACAAUUUCUUACUACUUCUACUAACUUUGGGUAACUAGGUAGGUUUCCAAACAUGAAAAAAAAUAACAACAAAACAUGUAUAUAACUUUAUAAUAAUAUAGAAUUCCAAUUAUUAUUCAUUUCAGUGUACACCAAAUAUAACCAGUUUGUUUCAAUAAUCAUCACAUCAUGACAGAUUUAAUUUUUAUAAACGUGAAUAAAAAUUCCGAGCUUUUAAUUCCAUACAAAUCUUGUAUAAUUCGUCAGAGAUAAAUCUAUUUAAUUUAAUAAUUUAAUACAAUAAUACAAUAAAAGUUUUUUUUCCGUACCACGUGUUAUGAAAUUAAGGUUUAAAUCAUAAUAAAAUACAUUAUUGAGUUAAAUAUAAUAAAAUGGGACUGUUAAUAUCAACACUAUUAUAUAAGUCAUGUGGUAAGUAAAAAUAAAGAUAUAACGUCAUUAUCUCCAAAAGCUAAAUAAUGAUGAUGCUAUUUUAUGCAACACGCUAUAAUAUAAUAUUAUAACUAUAGCGACGUAAAAUAUAAUAUUACAUACAAUUCACUCGGAAAAUUCAUUAUUAUAUUAUUAUAUUAAUGUGCAUACACGGCUACUGUGACACAACGAUGAUAAAUUAAUAAGUAAUAACCAUUCACAGAAUCAUAAAAAUUAAAUCACUAAUACUACCUAUUAUACUUUAAUAUUAAAAUUCAUAACAAUAUAAUAUAAUAGUAUAGGUAUAUCAAAUGAUACAUUGGAUUUUACCUUAAAUAGAAACAUCUGCAGUGGUUAUAAUAUAAUAUGUGCCACUAUAUUGUAGUCGGAUUUGAGAUGUAUACAUUUAUUACCAUAUGUGAAUACUGUUUGGAAAAAUAAGAACGGUACCUAUGUUGGAACGAGUUUAUUUUUAGAACGAAGAAAAAUGUACUCGAAUGAAGGCCGUACCCGAGCAGCCCUCAUUGUUCUGGUGUCUGCGAGAUAUACCCAUCGCGGAGUGAUAGCCAUGCCCACUUUCAAAGUUGACUAUAAUAUUACGGAAUGGGUUGAAACGGGACUAAAAGUAAAAUCCAACUCAAGUACUCAACAACAAUAGGAUUUCGGAUAUUGCGAACAAACAAGUUUGAUUUAAACCCUUUAUUUUUAUUGGUGUAUUCAAUUAUAUAUUUAUACACCCAACAUAAAUAACUAAUGGGGAUAAACGAGAACGUACAAAAUAUGUUGUUCAACAGCAGUGCUGCUAGAUACUUUAUGGACUCGGAUAGUUUUUUACGUCGCAAGGUCGUUUAUUUUUGGACCAGACUUUGACAUGGUAAUUUUCAAUAACAUGACGUUAUCUCUGAAAAACGAUAUGUUACGAAUUACGAUUGCCCUCCUGCUAUCGCAUUCGCAGGGCACUUAUAAUAAUAAUAUAGCAUGCGGUGAAAAUACAACGUGCGAAAUUCCUAUUCUACGUUGUUGGUUUUUCGUAACGUUUAUCCGAUUUGACAGGGAUUUAAAAUUAUACGGAACUUUGGUAUAUUAUAAUAUCCUAAUAUAGGUGUACUGUACAGAUGGCUAUGGUAGGUACAUAUACAUAUGAAUGAAACCUCCACUAACGGAUACCUCCAAAUAGCGGACGUGGUUUUGGGAACAAACUGAGUACAAACUGAAUCCUCUGAAUAGCGGAUAACAUUUCAGUGACCGAGAGUGACCGGUGUUUAGCGGUUUCAUUGUAUCAAAUACACGCGUAGAUUUAUCAUCUCUGUGGACAUUAUAUACCACUGAACAAUGUAUUUACAUGGAAUGCGUAUCAUGUAUAAUUAGGUAUAUAUCAUAUUAUAUUAUGAACUAACAAUGGCCUAUACGCGAGCCACCGUAAAUACAUUCCGAUUUGAUAUUCAAUAUUAAUUAUGAUAACAAAUUUCGUAGAUAACACAACAUUUCAUCAUGUUUCCCUUGACUCGGAAUGCAUAAUAUGGUGACUUCCUAUCAGGAUCAUAUUUUGAUGAAUACACGCAUUCCAUAUAAUAUGUAUUUUGUUCAGUGCAUUAUGCAAAUUACGUGCGUAUACAGAGUGGUUGUUGUCGUCGGAGUUGCGAUCGUGACUAUUUUCGCAUCACAAAUCGGUCGGCGAAAAACACAGAGCGAACCUUAUUGUUGUUAUUAUUGUUUUUUAACGACGCGCUCUCCUCUGUAUUAUGGCGCACGCGGCAAUCGUCAUCCAAACCUAUACUAUUUCAUACACAAACAUAAUAUUAUAGUCAUAGUUCUAUUCAACAUUGUCGGUUUUUCGUAGAGUUUAUCAAUUUUUUUUUUAUUAUUUAUUAACCCUUGGCAACAUAGGCUAUAUGAUCAUAUUGGUUGUAAAAUAAAUGUUGAAUUUACUUAUUUCACAAUAUUACAAUUUUGUUGUACUUAAAUAAAUGGUUUAUUUUUCGAUUGGUUUUUACAGAUUUUCAAUAGUAGUUAGGCGGCACUGCUGUAGUGAUGGAAUUGUAGACGUUUGAGGGUGACUGAGGAUGAUUGUGUAGCAUAUUUCUGGUAUUCAUUCGGGAAUAUUGGAGUAUGUUCUGGUGUGGAGAUACGUUCGGUAUGCGGAGUGAUGCUGCAGGAUGAAACAUGUGGAGCAGCUGCUAAUCGUUCGAUUGAGUAAAUAAUCUGACUAAAGUCGAAUUAUCAUUAGAAUUUUAAAAAUUAUAAUAAAUAAACGAUGAACAAUGUAUAUUAUUGAUACUGAUGAAACUGUAAUACCUACCUAGGUUAUAGCUGUAUUUUGUCAGAAAAUAAAGAAUGCAUAAAAUGUCCACGAUGAUUAUUGAAAUGUUUUCUGUUGCUAUUGUUAAAUAGCAGUUCUCUGUUCUUUUAAAUAAUUUUGAUGAAGAUGAGCCGGCGAAGACGGCAGAAACAGCCAAUGAACAAAAUGAAAAUAAAAUGCAAUAGAUAUGAUGAUUAAUUAUUAGUCGAGGCUGUAAACAAAUAUUUCCAUACAUUAUAAAAUGUAUAUUGUUAUUGUUUUGAUUUUAUCUUUUUUUUUUUAAAUCGACCUAACUUCAAUGUAAAGUAUUUUUUUUAUGAUUUUUAAAAUAAAUAAUUCAUGAAAUACUGCUUGUAGACUUAGUUUGUACACACGAAUUUAAAAAAUCAGCUCAAUAUUGAUCUAUCGAAAAAAUUUAUAAGGUAUUGUGUUAAAAUUAUAUUCAGUUUACUUAUUGUUUAAAAAUCAAUAAUAAAUAUUGAACAGUUGUAUAUUAUUUUAAAUAAUAAUUGAAAACAUUUCUAUACACUGCAUUUUAGAUUUACAUUUAAAGUAUGUAGUGCAUAAUUUUGAAAAAUGAAUUUCUUUGUGAUUUUAAAUAAUUAAAUAUAUUAACUACAGCCUAUAAGUAUGAACUGAACGCAUUUUAUGCGUUGGUAAAAUAAAAUAAGUUGAUUUUUGCGAAGCUGUGGUUAAAAUAAAUUUAUAGUUUUUAGGUUUUACUAAGGUCACUAUACAGAGAUGUUGGUUUGAACCAUUUGACUGGAUGUGUAAAUACGGGCAUCGUUCAAUAUUGCGCCUAAAACAAAGUUUUUGUUUAGGGUCAGUGUACCAAUUUUGCUCCUUAUAUUUUACGGUUAGUAUACCAAUUGCGCUUAUAUUCAAAUUUCUUUACUUUCAGAUAUGAAAAUCAUGUUGUUCAAUUUAAUUCCAUCAACAUCAACAUAAACAAUCAAACGAGUUUUGUUUAAUUUCUUAACAUAAUAAUAUUAUGUUUUUUUAUUCAUAUGAUAAUACCAUUGAUUAUAAAUACUAGUAUUUAUAAUCAAUGACAAUACUUAUCAAGUACACUCUAGACACAUUAUUUUAAGUCCAAAGCCUAUCAAUAUUUUAAAAUGAUAUUUUACAUUUUUAUUGUUAUUACACUCUUCCUAAAUAAAUAUAUUUUAAUAAUGCUUACAAUCUCACAUUAUAUUAAAAUAUUUCAUUUUACAAAUUAAUAUAUUUCACCCGCAUACAUACUAACCAAGAAUACUACUUAAAAGUUUUGAAACCACAUGCAUUUUUUAAAAUAUGUUUGUUAAAAAUAUGCAUUGACAAUGACAAGACAUGUACAAAAAAAAUAACAAUCGGAUAUGUUUUAAAUGUUAUAAAGUUCCAAGUGUUUACAAAAUACUAAAAAUAUGUAAUUUUGCAAAUAAAAAGAGUAAGCAAUGUCUCGUUAAUUUAUAGAAUACUAUUAAUAGGCAUAAUUGAUCAAAUUGUAUUUAUACGAUAAUUGCAAUUUCAACAUUUUUGAUUAACAUUCAAAUGCCAGAAAAUUUUACUUAUCGAUAUAUCCAAUUUUUUUUAAUAAAUAUUUAAAAUACCUAGGUAUAGGAAAUCAGUUUCCAGGUACUAACAAUCGAUAAAAUAGUAUUAUGUUUGUUAUAUUCCGAGUUCAUCCACGAAUUUAUUGGUUUUAUACAGUGAUAUAUAUUUUUUUACGUUAAUAGUUUAGAGACUACAACUCGGGAAUAAGAAGUUUUCCAAAAGUUUUAAGCAGCUUCGUAUAUAUACAUGGAUUAGAAAUCAAGUCUAGUUGUCACUUAAAACGGAAUUUUCGAUUUUCUCAAUAUCUUCACUAUAUAACCGUGCGAAAAAUAACUUAUAACGGUCGAACAAUUUUUGAAGAGAUCUUUGCAACAACGAUUUUGUCACAGACCUCUGUGCUAGGAAUAGUUUUUUUUUCAUUAUUUAUAGUUAUAGUAAUAUUAAACCACUGUCUUCCUUUAAUAUGAGCACGGAAAAGUUUACAAUCCAUACUUAAUCUCUGUUUAUUGAGUAGCUUUUUAAUAUUGUGUAUCGUAUAGUGGUUAUAACAUAUACGUUCUAUAAAUAAAACUAUUUACAUUUUAGAUUUUCUCUAAUUUUAUAAAAACGUUUCUUGCGACUUUUAUUAUAUAGCAAGAAAUAAAAACAAAUAUCGUUAGUUAUUUUUUGCUUUUUAAUUAGAUGAUUGCCAUCGCUAUGUCAUUAAUUACAACUUGUAUAAUAGUUGUAUAUUAUAAUAUAAUAUAAAUUAUUGUAAAAGAUAUUUUUUGAAGUAUUGAAGUAUUGAUAUAGAUACUAUAAAAUAAAAAUACAAAUACUUUGAGUAGUAACCUACCUAAAAAGUAUUUGAUCACUAUUACUCAGCUAAUUGUAUUCAAGUAGGUACUUUACAAGACUGUUUAAUUGCGUACAUUUUAAAUGUAUUUUACAUAAUAUUAAAUAUACAUAUUGUCUUGAUUAGUUAGGUAUGUAGUUUAUAGAAUAAUGUCUUGUUUAUAUUUGCAAUAUUUGUAACUUAUAUAAAAUUAAAACUAAUUUAUGAUUGAUUACCAAUAGUUUUCAUUAUUACCGUUUUUGCAAUUUGCCUAAAAGUUAAACUUUAUUUUCUAGGUACUGGUACUCUUAUCCAAUAUAUCAUCAAGUUUAUUAAAAAUAAUGAACGCAUAAAAUAUUGAAUAUGUCCACAAACAAAAUGGAGGGUAAAAUUAAAUUAUAUUUUCUGGAAACAUUGCCGGGGAAGGUAGAUUUUGUUCCGAUUUUUUUUCGUUGUUUUGUUUUAAGUCAUCAAUCUCUAUAUGUACCUAGACUUGUUCAGUAAAUAUGAUGCUAAAUAAUAUGAUGAAAAAAAGGCCACGUGUGAAAAGGGUACGAAUAACGUAUUGGUUUUUAGGACAGUCAGUAUUAUAAAUUCGAUUAAAACUCGUUUAAAACAAAAUUCUCAUACGAACCCUUUUUAGCACGAUUUUUUUUCCAGGACCAUUAUUACUACCAGAAAAGGGUAAAUAAUAAUAACAAGUAUACAACGGUGUGGACAUCGAACAUACGUGGGGGGGGGGGCAUU
rnacentral:lncRNA from 1 species